rnacentral:rRNA from 1 species
CACAGAGAGCUUGCUCUCGGGUGACGAGUGGCGGACGGGUGAGUAAUGUCUGGGAAACUGCCUGAUGGAGGGGGAUAACUACUGGAAACGGUAGCUAAUACCGCAUAACGUCGCAAGACCAAAGAGGGGGACCUUCGGGCCUCUUGCCAUCAGAUGUGCCCAGAUGGGAUUAGCUAGUAGGUGGGGUAACGGCUCACCUAGGCGACGAUCCCUAGCUGGUCUGAGAGGAUGACCAGCCACACUGGAACUGAGACACGGUCCAGACUCCUACGGGAGGCAGCAGUGGGGAAUAUUGCACAAUGGGCGCAAGCCUGAUGCAGCCAUGCCGCGUGUAUGAAGAAGGCCUUCGGGUUGUAAAGUACUUUCAGCGGGGAGGAAGGCGUUAAGGUUAAUAACCUUGUCAAUUGACGUUACCCGCAGAAGAAGCACCGGCUAACUCCGUGCCAGCAGCCGCGGUAAUACGGAGGGUGCAAGCGUUAAUCGGAAUUACUGGGCGUAAAGCGCACGCAGGCGGUCUGUCAAGUCGGAUGUGAAAUCCCCGGGCUCAACCUGGGAACUGCAUUCGAAACUGGCAGGCUGGAGUCUUGUAGAGGGGGGUAGAAUUCCAGGUGUAGCGGUGAAAUGCGUAGAGAUCUGGAGGAAUACCGGUGGCGAAGGCGGCCCCCUGGACAAAGACUGACGCUCAGGUGCGAAAGCGUGGGGAGCAAACAGGAUUAGAUACCCU